UCCUGCAGCUCAACUGUAGAACUGCCUUUGAUACUGUUUGUCUUGAGUUAUUGUGAAGUGGUUAGAAUGUGUAGUGUAGCGGUGAAAUGCAUAGAUAUUACACAGAAUACCGAUUGCGAAGGCAGAUCACUAACAAUUAACUGACACUGAUGGACGAAAGCGUGGGUAGCGAACAGGAUUAGAUACCCUGGUAGUCCACGCCGUAAACGAUGGUCACUAGCUGUUUGGACUUCGGUCUGAGUGGCUAAGCGAAAGUGAUAAGUGACCCACCUGGGGAGUACGUUCGCAAGAAUGAAACUCAAAGGAAUUGACGGGGGCCCGCACAAGCGGUGGAGCAUGUGGUUUAAUUCGAUGAUACGCGAGGAACCUUACCAGGGCUUAAAUGUUAGGUGACAGAUCUAGAAAUAGAUUUUUCUUCGGACACUUAACAAGGUGCUGCAUGGUUGUCGUCAGCUCGUGCCGUGAGGUGUCAGGUUAAGUCCUAUAACGAGCGCAACCCCUGUUGUUAGUUGCCAGCGAGUAAUGUCGGGAACUCUAGCAAAACUGCCAGUGCAAACUGUGAGGAAGGUGGGGAUGACGUCAAAUCAUCACGGCCCUUACGUCCUGGGCUACACACGUGCUACAAUGGUAGGUACAGUGAGCAGCCAGUGCGCGAGCACGAGCAAAUCUACAAAACCUAUCUCAGUUCGGAUCGGAGUCUGCAACUCGACUCCGUGUAGCUGGAAUCGCUAGUAAUCGGAUAUCAGCCAUGAUCCGGUGAAUACGUUCCCGGGCCUUGUACACACCGCCCGUCAAGCCAUGGAAGUUGGGAGUGCCUGAAGUCCGUUUCCGCAAGGAUCGGCCUAGGGUAAAAUCGAUAACUAGGGCUAAGUCGUAACAAGGUAACCGUA
rnacentral:rRNA from 1 species